rnacentral:rRNA from 1 species
UACGUAGGGUGCAAGCGUUGUCCGGAAUUAUUGGGCGUAAAGAGCUCGUAGGCGGUUUGUCGCGUCUGCCGUGAAAGUCCGGGGCUCAACUCCGGAUCUGCGGUGGGUACGGGCAGACUAGAGUGAUGUAGGGGAGACUGGAAUUCCUGGUGUAGCGGUGAAAUGCGCAGAUAUCAGGAGGAACACCGAUGGCGAAGGCAGGUCUCUGGGCAGUAACUGACGCUGAGGAGCGAAAGCGUGGGGAGCGAACAGG